rnacentral:rRNA from 1 species
AGUGAACGCUGGCGGUAGGCCUAACACAUGCAAGUCGAACGGCAGCACAGUAAGAGCUUGCUCUUACGGGUGGCGAGUGGCGGACGGGUGAGGAAUACAUCGGAAUCUACUUUUUCGUGGGGGAUAACGUAGGGAAACUUACGCUAAUACCGCAUACGACCUACGGGUUAAAGCAGGGGAUCUUCGGACCUUUCGCGAUUGAAUGAGCCGACGUCGGAUUAGCUAGUUGGCGGGGUAAAGGCCCACCAAGGCGACGAUCCGUAGCUGGUCUGAGAGGAUGAUCAGCCACACUGGAACUGAGACACGGUCCAGACUCCUACGGGAGGCAGCAGUAGGGAAUAUUGGACAAUGGGCGAAAGCCUGAUGCAGCAAUACCGCGUGAGUGAAGAAGGCCUUCGGGUUGUAAAGCCCUUUUGUUGGGAAAGAAAAGAAGCAGAUGAAUACACGGAUGUUCUGACGGUACCCAAAGAAUAAGCACCGGCUAACUUCGUG